GAGCGGUAGAGAGAAGCUUGCUUCUCUUGAGAGCGGCGGACGGGUGAGUAAUGCCUAGGAAUCUGCCUGGUAGUGGGGGAUAACGUUCGGAAACGGACGCUAAUACCGCAUACGUCCUACGGGAGAAAGCAGGGGACCUUCGGGCCUUGCGCUAUCAGAUGAGCCUAGGUCGGAUUAGCUAGUUGGUGGGGUAAUGGCUCACCAAGGCGACGAUCCGUAACUGGUCUGAGAGGAUGAUCAGUCACACUGGAACUGAGACACGGUCCAGACUCCUACGGGAGGCAGCAGUGGGGAAUAUUGGACAAUGGGCGAAAGCCUGAUCCAGCCAUGCCGCGCGUGUGAAGAAGGUCUUCGGAUUGUAAAGCACUUUAAGUUGGGAGGAAGGGUUGUAGAUUAAUACUCUGCAAUUUUGACGUUACCGACAGAAUAAGCACCGGCUAACUCUGUG
rnacentral:rRNA from 1 species